CCUACGGGAGGCAGCAGUGGGGAAUCUUGCGCAAUGGGCGAAAGCCUGACGCAGCAACGCCGCGUGCGGGAAGAAGGCUUUCGGGCUGUAAACCGCUUUCAGCAGGAACGAAAAUGACGGUACCUGCAGAAGAAGGAGCGGCCAACUAUGUGCCAGCAGCCGCGGUGAUACAUAGGCUUCAAGCGUUGUCCGGAUUUAUUGGGCGUAAAGAGUUCGUAGGCGGUCGAGUAAGUCGGGUGUGAAAAUUCUGGGCUCAACCCAGAGACGCCACCCGAUACUGCUUAACUUGAGUUCGAUAGGGGAGUGGGGAAUUCCUAGUGUAGCGGUGAAAUGCGCAGAUAUUAGGAGGAACACCGGUGGCGAAGGCGCCACUCUGGAUCGAUACUGACGCUGAGGAACGAAAGCAUGGGUAGCAAACAGGAUUAGAUACCCUGGUAGUCCAUGCCGUAAACGGUGGGCACUAGGUGUGGGAUUCUAUUAACGAAUUCCGCGCCGUCGCUAACGCAUUAAGUGCCCCGCCUGGGGAGUACGGUCGCAAGCUAAAACUUAAUGAAUUGACGG
rnacentral:rRNA from 1 species